rnacentral:rRNA from 1 species
UAAUGUCUGGGAAACUGCCUGAUGGAGGGGGAUAACUACUGGAAACGGUAGCUAGUACCGCAUAACGUCGCGAGACCAAAGUGGGGGACCUUCGGGCCUCAUGCCAUCAGAUGUGCCCAGAUGGGAUUAGCUAGUAGGUGGGGUAACGGCUCACCUAGGCGACGAUCCCUAGCUGGUCUGAGAGGAUGACCAGCCACACUGGAGCUGAGACACGGUCCAG